UACGUAGGUGACGAGCGUUAUCCGGAAUUAUUGGGCGUAAAGGGCGCGUAGGCGGUCGUGUGCGUCGAGGGUGAAAUCCCCGGGCUUAACCCGGGAGCUGCCUUCGAUACGGCACGGCUUGAGUCCGGGAGAGGGGAGCAGAAUUCCCAGUGUAGCGGUGAAAUGCGUAGAUAUUGGGAGGAAUACCGGUGGCGAAGGCGGCUCCCUGGACCGGUACUGACGCUGAGGCGCGAAAGCGUGGGUAGCAAACAGG
rnacentral:rRNA from 1 species